AGACCCGAAACCCGGUGAUCUAGCCAUGGGCAGGUUGAAGGUUGGGUAACACUAACUGGAGGACCGAACCGACUAAUGUUGAAAAAUUAGCGGAUGACCUGUGGCUGGGGGUGAAAGGCCAAUCAAACCGGGAGAUAGCUGGUUCUCCCCGAAAGCUAUUUAGGUAGCGCCUCGUGAAUUCAUCUCCGGGGGUAGAGCACUGUUUCGGCUAGGGGGCCAUCCCGGCUUACCAACCCGAUGCAAACUGCGAAUACCGGAGAAUGUUAUCACGGGAGACACACGGCGGGUGCUAACGUCCGUCGUGAAGAGGGAAACAACCCAGACCGCCAGCUAAGGUCCCAAAGUCAUGGUUAAGUGGGAAACGAUGUGGGAAGGCCCAGACAGCCAGGAUGUUGGCUUAGAAGCAGCCAUCAUUUAAAGAAAGCGUAAUAGCUCACUGGUCGAGUCGGCCUGCGCGGAAGAUGUAACGGGGCUAAACCAUGCACCGAAGCUGCGGCAGCGAACGUAUCACUUAAAGCGAUUCAGCGGGUUACGAUUGACGGAGCGAAGCGACGUCAAAGCGUAUACAAAGUCGAGUCGGUUUAAGGAUACGUUCGUUGGGUAGGGGAGCGUUCUGUAAGCCUGUGAAGGUGUGUCGUGAGGCAUGCUGGAGGUAUCAGAAGUGCGAAUGCUGACAUAAGUAACGAUAAAGCGGGUGAAAAGCCCGCUCGCCGGAAGACCAAGGGUUCCUGUCCAACGUUAAUCGGGGCAGGGUGAGUCGACCCCUAAGGCGAGGCCGAAAGGCGUAGUCGAUGGGAAACGGGUUAAUAUUCCCGUACUUGGUGUUACUGCGAAGGGGGGACGGAGAAGGCUAUGUUGGCCGGGCGACGGUUGUCCCGGUUUAAGCGUGUAGGCUGGUUUUCCAGGCAAAUCCGGAAAAUCAAGGCUGAGGCGUGAUGACGAGGCACUACGGUGCUGAAGCAACAAAUGCCCUGCUUCCAGGAAAAGCCUCUAAGCAUCAGGUAAC
rnacentral:rRNA from 1 species